rnacentral:rRNA from 1 species
UCUUAGCAACCGAUUUGGUCCUAGUCCUCUCUUUCUUUUUAACUAAGAUGAUACAUGCAAGCAAAAAGCUCUACAGUGAGUAUUACAAAAAACUUACCCUCUCAAAGUCAGUAAAACUUCAUUACUAGCAUCAGGCUCAACCUUCUAUUCAGCCCCACGCUUAGACACCCACAUCUGCAGUACUUAACAUUGUACAAUAAGUAAAAACUUGAUACAGCUAUAGUUGACAGGCCUGGUCAAUUAUGUGCCAGCCACCGCGGUUAUACAUAAAGCCCAAACUAAAGAGACUAACGGUUUAAAGGUGGCCUUCAAAAAUUUAGAAUAAACAAUACCUCUAGCAGUAAUAAGCUUCUACAGAAAAUUUAUCACAUUCAUUAAUUUAAUUCUACCAACCCCCAUCAGCCACUAAAGCUCAAAGAUAAACUGGGAUUAGAUACCCCACUAUAUGAGCCGUAAAAAACAAUAACACCAGAGA